rnacentral:rRNA from 1 species
UACAGAGGGUGCGAGCGUUAAUCGGAAUUACUGGGCGUAAAGCGCGCGUAGGCGGCUUUGCAAGUCGGGUGUGAAAUCCCCAGGCUUAACCCUGGACCUGCAUUCGAUACGGGCAGACUAGAGUUCGGUAGGGGAGACUGGAAUUCCUGGUGUAGCGGUGAAAUGCGCAGAUAUCAGGAGGAACACCGGUGGCGAAGGCGGGUCUCUGGGCCGAUACUGACGCUGAGGAGCGAAAGCGUGGGGAGCGAACAGG